rnacentral:rRNA from 1 species
AUCGCGGAAACGUUUUGACCGGUAGAGCGAACGACUAGAGGUACCGGGGCCGUAACGGCCUCGACCUAUUCUCGAACUCCGAACGGGCAAGGAGCCGGGGUCGCCCGAUCGGACCCCGGACGUGAAGUCGACGAUGGUCGGUGGGCUGGUUUUGGUAAGCAGAACGGGCGAUUCGGGAUGAACCGGAAGCGGGGAGAAAGGGCCCGAGAUUGCGUCGACGCGGAUCCCGAAAAGGGCGUCGAUCCGUCGCGACAGCGGGACGGUGGUCAUGGAAGUCGAAAUCCGCUAAGAAGCGUGUAAAAACGUACCCGCCCAACGGAUCGGCCCCGAAAAUUGAUGGCGCUCGAACGCAACCCUCGAACCCCGCCGACGGAGGCUAGGGGAGGCCCCGUCGAGUAGGCGGACGCGCGGGUCGCUUCGACGCUCCCGCGCGAGCGGGGGCGGAGCGGCCCGUGGUGCAGAUCUUGGUGGUAGUAGCGAUCACCCAGGCGAGAACCCUGAGGGCCGAAGUGGAGAAGGGUUUCUCGAGAACGGCACUCGCUCGAGAGUUAGUCGAUCCUAAGCUGCCGGCGGCAGCCACGAAACGGUCGAG